UAAAAAGAUAAGCUAAAUUUUAAAGCUUCCGGGUUCAUACCCCGGCUAUAAAGCCCCCUCUCUUUUCUUUUU
rnacentral:tRNA from 1 species